CUAAGUGAGCUACUUUAAAGCAGCUGUAAGAGCUAACCCUUCUCUGUUGCAAAAGAGUGGGAUGACUUUUAAGUAGAGGUGAUAAACCUACCGAACUUAGAGAUAGCUGGUUUUUUAAGAAAAGAAUUUAAGUUCAGCCCCAAGCCUCUUUAUUGAAUAAAAAAUCCCCUUAAGCUUGGGAGUUAUUCAAAUAAGGCACAGCUUAUUUGAAACAGGACACAACCUAAAAUGCCGGGUAAAAUAACUUAAUCUUUUAACAAGUGGGCCUAAAAGCAGCCACCUUUAAAAAAGCGUCAAAGCUUAGUAAUAGUAGUAAACUAAUAACCUCAACAACCUUUAACCCUCAAACACUAUUAAAUUACCCCAUAUAAUUAUGGAAGCUAUAAUGCUAGAACAAGUAACAAGAAAAAGAUUUUUCUCCGAAAUGUGAGCUUUAGCCACAAUAGACAAACCACCGGCAAUUAACGCCCCUGAGUCAAUUUUAGCAACCAGCCCCGAAAACCCUAUAAACCCAAGCGUCAACCUUACACUAGAACAU
rnacentral:rRNA from 1 species